UAGGGAAUCUUCCACAAUGGGCGAAAGCCUGAUGGAGCAACACCGCGUGAGUGAAGAAGGGUUUCGGCUCGUAAAACUCUGUUGUUAAAGAAGAACACGUAUGAGAGUAACUGUUCAUACGUUGACGGUAUUUAACCAGAAAGUCACGGCUAACUACGUGCCAG
rnacentral:rRNA from 1 species